rnacentral:rRNA from 1 species
UGAUCUAGCCAUGGGCAGGUUGAAGGUUGGGUAACACUAACUGGAGGACCGAACCGACUAAUGUUGAAAAAUUAGCGGAUGACUUGUGGCUGGGGGUGAAAGGCCAAUCAAACCGGGAGAUAGCUGGUUCUCCCCGAAAGCUAUUUAGGUAGCGCCUCGUGAAUUCAUCUCCGGGGGUAGAGCACUGUUUCGGCAAGGGGGUCAUCCCGACUUACCAACCCGAUGCAAACUGCGAAUACCGGAGAAUGUUAUCACGGGAGACACACGGCGGGUGCUAACGUCCGUCGUGAAGAGGGAAACAACCCAGACCGCCAGCUAAGGUCCCAAAGUCAUGGUUAAGUGGGAAACGAUGUGGGAAGGCCCAGACAGCCAGGAUGUUGGCUUAGAAGCAGCCAUCAUUUAAAGAAAGCGU